GAGGUGUAUUAGUAUAUUUUGGAAGUAUUGGGAAGGACUCGGAGUGAGCUAGACGUGCCAAAAGGGCUGUAAUUGCUGCUGCUAGGCUGUUGGUUAGUGCAGGGACUGAUUUGCGAACCUGCAGGGACUGAUUUGCGAACCUGCAGGGACUGUUUUGCAAACUGCUGGACUGCAAUGCAGUUUCAGCCUUGUGAGGGAUUAGUUGGCAAUUAGUUGAUCUUAUCACUUCACCCAGCAGCCCCCAGCCCUGUCUACGUGUUGGACUUCCUCCCUCUCUUUCUUUUCUUAUCUCUAUCUCCUCUUUUAUCUCUCUAGAACCUGGUUGAAGCCUUGUGAGAGAGAGAGCUUGUGGAGUGGAAAUUUUUGUUGAUAGAGCUAAGAAGAGAAACUGUGGAGCUGACAAGAAGCUUGUGGAGCUGAAGAAACCCUUGGGGAAACUCCAAAUCCAGGUAGAGUUGAUGCUUAAUUCCUGGUUGAGUUGGCAGCUUGGAAGAGCUUGUGGGCUGAGGAAGAAAUCUGAGCCAAGCAAGAAAUUUUUGCUGAUUGGAGUUGCUAAAUAUCCUGGAACAGUACCUAAUCAAGCUUGAGGAAAUUGAGAUAGCAACCUUGAGACUUGCAAUUUAAGUUCUUCUUGAUGUGGAACUGGAAAGAGACCAUGUGGAGCUAAAGAAGGAAGCUUUUGGAGAGCUUCAAAUUCAGAUUUGAGCUUUUGGAUUGAUGGGCUGCUGAGUUGGGGCUGUUGCUGCAGAAGAAUUGAAGUGAAGUGCUGUUGGUGUUGCCGAAAUUCAGGAGUGAGCCAUUUGAUGCAGUGAGCAAGCUAGCUCAGCAUCUAAUUGACGUAAGUUGAUUCUAAUAAUCAAUAUUAAUCAAGUUAAUUGAUUGGAACUAAGUGGUAACCUGAGGGGAGCUGCUGCCAUAGAAGAGAAGUGGGAUUUGUUGAAGCUGCCUAGCAGGAAGUUGAUUGUUGGAGCUGAAGGAAUGUUGAGCUGAGCGCAACUUAAGGGAUUUUCGAAUUCAGAAAUGAGACCUAAAAAGAGUUUAGUUGCUGAAAUUUCAGAUUUGGAGCUGAAAUGGCAAUCUUGGUGGAACUUGGUGGAUUAGUAAAGCAGUCACCCUUUGGUCGACGACGCGCGAAUUACGGUAGAGACCGUUCUAGUUCUAUUUGCACUGAGUCGCGAGAGAUAGUUGUCGACGCAUUCCGAGGCGUGGAUUCUAAUUGUUGACACCACUACAGGUGGGUGGUGCUAUCCGAAGUCUUUGAAUCACCUUUUAUGUCUAUGAUUAUUCAUUGAGCAUAUUUAUAUUUGUAGUCAUGCAUUAUAGGGUAUUGGCAUUGUGCAAGUGAAAGUGUGAAUUCCUAUCAACAGUGAGAACAUGUGAACAUUAGAAUGUGGACUUAGAACCCUAU